rnacentral:rRNA from 1 species
GUAGGUGGCAAGCGUUGUCCGGAAUUAUUGGGCGUAAAGCGCGCAGGCGGUUCUUUAAGUCUGAUGUGAAAGCCCACGGCUCAACCGUGGAGGGUCAUUGGAAACUGGAGAACUUGAGUACAGAAGAGGAAAGCGGAAUUCCACGUGUAGCGGUGAAAUGCGUAGAGAUGUGGAGGAACACCAGUGGCGAAGGCGGCUUUCUGGUCUGUAACUGACGCUGAGGCGCGAAAGCGUGGGGAGCAAACAGGGAUUAGAUACCCUGGUAGUCCACGCCGUAAACGAUGAGUGCUAAGUGUUAGGGGGGUUUCCGCCCCCUUAGUGCUGCAGCUAACGCAUUAGGCACUCCGCCUGGGGAGUACGGCCGCAAGGCUG